ensembl:lncRNA novel transcript
GGCUGAAAUAAUGAAAAUUCUAAUUAGGCUUUGCUUGCUUGCUGCACAAAAGCCAACAUCCCUUGUUUCCACAGUAUAAACUGCUGAUGUACUGUUUCUUUGCCAAGCAGGAGGAGGUGACUUCAGGGUCAUGAAAAAGAUUUGCAGAAGGAAUGGACAUGGCGACCAGCUGCUGAUACUCAAGGGUCUGGUUGCUCAAGAUGUUUUCUGAGACUGAAGACACACAGACUUUUCCCCUCGCUUCCCUGAAACUCCCCCUCCCUUAACUCUCUAGCCACAUAAAAAUUCCCCGCUUCUUUUUGUUUAGAGGGAUUUGAGAGAUCUUGCCUUCUCAUGUUGGCCAAAUUGAAGAAAGCUUUUUCUCCAAGCAGUUGUUUGCCAGUGUUUGGUGUUAACUGCACAUCAGGUUCAUAAUUUAUGGUGGAUAACUUAUAAGCAAAUAAUUAAAGAUCUACAAAAGUAAAUUCAUUGAUUGAUUGAAUUGGGUUGUGCACAAAAAAGGAAAAUAAAA